rnacentral:rRNA from 1 species
GACGAACGCUGGCGGCGUGCUUAACACAUGCAAGUCGAACGGAAAGGCCCUGCUUUUGUGGGGUGCUCGAGUGGCGAACGGGUGAGUAACACGUGAGUAACCUGCCCUUGACUUUGGGAUAACUUCAGGAAACUGGGGCUAAUACCGGAUAGGAGCUCCUGCUGCAUGGUGGGGGUUGGAAAGUUUCGGCGGUGGGGGAUGGUCUCGCGGCUUAUGAGCUUGUUGGUGGGGUAGUGGCUUACCAAGGCUUUGACGGGUAGCCGGCCUGAGUGGGUGACCGGCCACAUUAGUACUGAGAUACAGACCAGACUCCUACGGGAGGCAGCAGUGGGGAAUAUUGCACAAUGGGCGGAAGCCUGAUGCAGAAACGCCGCGUGCGGGAUGACGGCCUUCGGAUUGUAAACCGCUUUCGCCUGUGACGAAGCGUGAGUGACGGUAAUGGGUAAAGAAGCACCGGCUAACUACGUG